UGUCACGGAGUGACUUUGUAAGGGCGGAACUGAAAAAGUGACGGAGAUUGGUUCCGCCCGGACCAUAAUUCUCAAACAUCGGUUACUUCCGGGAACUCCGGGAAAGGAAAUCAGGGUUUCAUGGAUCGCAGGUGGAUAGAUGAGCGGGGCGAUCGCGGAUUGGGCAGUGUGAAGAGAAGGAGGAGUAUAAAGAGGGCCUCAGAAACUGCAGAGGGGGAGUUUUUAUUCUAGCCAAUACGGCGAGUGAGUUGGAGUGUUUGGGCGAGUGCAGCGGAAAGAAGGCGGAGGAUAUUGUUGGCUGGGCGAAGACGGAGACAAGGGUUUGGCAGAAGCAGAAACCGGGCUGAGUAUAUUGGGAUGUCUACCUAACUGUGAAAUGCUCUAUGGACAUGUGUAACAAAUUCUGAGUGGUUAAAAACAGGAAGACUCACUGGAAGUAUCGCCGAAGGAGGCCCUUUCGACAGGUCACGUGGGAGCAGGAGAAGUAUCCAGGAGCUGGAAAGAAGAGGGAAAAGAGACCUCGUGUUAGUAACGGUGUGGGUACCCUAAACCAUCGUACAGCAGCAUAAUCAUCUAGAGUGAACUAUCUGUGAGCCUUUUUGUGAGUUUGUGGCAUAGUAUGUGAGCAGCCCCACCGUGGAGGAGGAUUGUGGGUGAGCCGGGACCAGUGAGCGAGAGAAGACGUUGUGGUGUCGUGGCGGCGACGUUUAAAUCUGAAUAUUCGUUGCAUCAGUGUCUCCAUGAUUUCCAGGACGAGUCUUUGGUCAGACGGGGUUUUGACCCUAAAUUCACCAAGAGUGUGUGGAGUGCAGUGGGUGAGUCUUUGUCCUUUGCUGUGAGUGUGUACACUUGAAACUUUCAGUGUUGUGCUGUGUUUGUGUCGUCAACAACCACCUUUCAGGCCCGACGAAAUCCUGGAAGGAAGUGAGUACUGAGGCGGGCGAAGAAAACAUCUCCAAUUAUAUGCCGUCGAUUACAUCCUGACCCUUCUUCCCCACGUGACGGUGGCGGGAAACAAUUUCAAGUAAGAACAGUGUGGAUAUAGUGGGAAGUAUUAAUGGUGAGGAGUUGGCUGCUGUAGGAGGAAAUCAGCGGUGCGUGUAUUAUUACCUGCUGUGGAGUUCUUCAAAGGUUCGCCCCUGUCUAGAUCUCUUGCCCUGUCGGUUGGAAGAAAGAAGAGGGAAGCGUUCGACCCAUUCAGUGUAGCACACCCCGGGUGAAACAACUUACCUGUGUGUGACACCAGCGGAGGCCGUGUUCGGCCCAACGCAGCAGCUUUCGAUCCGCACCUCUAUCAGCAGUUGGUUGAAGCCUCAGAAAAGGAAUGCCUGACGUCUAUUUCCUCAAAGACUUACCUGUGCCCCGAGUGAAGAGCCAGCGGCCCCUCUGUCCACUGUCCGUGUCCAGUCCUGUUAUACUUACCUGUAUGUUCUUGUGCAGAUCUAGCGGGUCCCUUUGAAGCGUCUACCUGCACGUUGACCCGUCACUCAGGAUACAGAAACCGCGGAAACCCCCCCCGUACACUUACCAGUAUGGUUUCAGUUGGAUCCCGGCAGCCAUUGUGCAGCUCCACCAGCAUCUGGACGACCGGGAGUCCAACCCGCUGGGCCGCCUCGGAGUUCGCCAUGAGUAGCAGCAGGUAUCCAUCGUGCAUUCAAACUCUCAAUACGUACCACUUAUAUCUGUUACGUCCAGGAAAGGAGAGGGCCCUGGACAGUCGUCCUGCAAGCCAGAACAAAGGGGCACUUGUGAAUAAGCUGAUUGUCGUCACAUAGCCAGAAGGAAAGAGGAGUGAAGGACUCACCUGAGAUCUCCCACGACGGAGUCUAAGAGACUCGGACUCACCUGAGAUCUCCCGCGACGGAGUCUAAGAGACUCGAGAGUGUUACUCUCCAGUUGGAGAGUUGGAUUUUAGCCUCCCUUCCCCCCUUCCCCAUACCCUUUUUUUAGUAAUUUAAUAAAGUUUGUUUUAAUAUUUA